GAUGAACGCUGGCGGCGUGCCUAAUACAUGCAAGUCGAGCGAACAGACGAGGAGCUUGCUGCUCGGAUGUUAGCGGCGGACGUGUGAGUAACACGUGGAUAACCUACCUAUAAGACUGGGAUAACUUCGGGAAACCGUAGCUAAUACCGGAGAAUAUUUUGAACCGCAUGGUUCAAUAGUGAAAGACGGUGUUGCUGUCACUUAUAGAUGGAUCCGCGCUGCAUUAGCUAGUUGGUAAGGUAACGGCUUACCAAGGCAACGAUGCAUAGCCGACCUGAGAGGGUGAUCGGCCACACUGGAACUGAGACACGGUCCAGACUCCUACGGGAGGCAGCAGUAGGGAAUCUUCCGCAAUGGGCGAAAGCCUGACGGAGCAACGCCGCGUGAGUGAUGAAGGUCUUCGGAUCGUAAAACUCUGUUAUUAGGGAAGAACAAAUGUGUAAGUAACUGUGCACAUCUUGACGGUACCUAAUCAGAAAGCCACGGCUAACUACGUG
rnacentral:rRNA from 1 species